GUGGGGAAUAUUGGACAAUGGGCGCAAGCCUGAUCCAGCCAUGCCGCGUGAGUGAAGAAGGCCCUAGGGUUGUAAAGCUCUUUCAGCGGGGAAGAUAAUGACGGUACCCGCAGAAGAAGCCCCGGCUAACUUCGUGCCAGCAGCCGCGGUAAUACGAAGGGGGCUAGCGUUGUUCGGAUUUACUGGGCGUAAAGCGCGCGUAGGCGGAUUGUUAAGUCAGGGGUGAAAUGCCGAGGCUCAACCUCGGAACUGCCUUUGAUACUGGCAAUCUGGAGUUCGGGAGAGGUGAGUGGAAUUCCGAGUGUAGAGGUGAAAUUCGUAGAUAUUCGGAGGAACACCAGAAGCGAAGGCGGCUCACUGGCCCGAUACUGACGCUGAGGCGCGAAAGCGUGGGGAGCAAACAGGAUUAGAAACCCCAGUAGUCC
rnacentral:rRNA from 1 species